CUGCAGCCCGAGUGGUGAUCGAUUUUAUUGAGCCUAAAGCGGCCGUAGCCGGACUAGUAAACCCUUGGGUAAAUUGGGCAGCUUAACUGUCCAAAUUCCGAGGGGACUGCUAGUCUUGGGACCGGGAGAGGUCAGAGGUACUCAAGGGGUAGGGGCUAAAUCCUGUAAUCCUUUGGGGACCACCAGUGGCGAAGGCGUCUGACUAGAACGGAUCCGACGGUAAGGGACGAAACCCUGGGGCGCGAACCGGAUUAGAGACCCGAGUAGUCC
rnacentral:rRNA from 1 species